rnacentral:rRNA from 1 species
GAUGAACGCUGGCGGCGUGCUUAACACAUGCAAGUCGAACGGAAAGGCUCCUGCUUGCAGGGGUACUCGAGUGGCGAACGGGUGAGUAACACGUGGGUGAUCUGCCCUGCACUUCGGGAUAAGCCUGGGAAACUGGGUCUAAUACCGGAUAGGACGAUGGUUUGGAUGCCAUUGUGGAAAGUUUUUCGGUGUGGGAUGAGCUCGCGGCCUAUCAGCUUGUUGGUGGGGUAAUGGCCUACCAAGGCGUCGACGGUUAGCCGGCCUGAGAGGGUGUACGGCCACAUUAGGACUGAGAUACGGCCCAGACUCCUACGGGAGGCAGCAGUGGGGAAUAUUGCACAAUGGGCGCAAGCCUGAUGCAGCGACGCCGCGUGGGGGAUGACGGCCUUCGGGUUGUAAACUCCUUUCGCUAGGGACGAAGCGCAAGUGACGGUACCUGGAGAAGAAGCACCGGCUAACUACGUG